GAUGAACGCUGGCGGCGUGCCUAAUACAUGCAAGUCGAGCGAACAGGCGAGGAGCUUGCUCCUCUGACGUUAGCGGCGGACGGGUGAGUAACACGUGGAUAACCUACCUAUAAGACUGGGAUAACUUCGGGAAACCGGAGCUAAUACCGGAUAAUAUAUUGAACCGCAUGGUUCAAUAGUGAAAGACGGUUUUGCUGUCACUUAUAGAUGGAUCCGCGCCGCAUUAGCUAGUUGGUAAGGUAACGGCUUACCAAGGCAACGAUGCGUAGCCGACCUGAGAGGGUGAUCGGCCACACUGGAACUGAGACACGGUCCAGACUCCUACGGGAGGCAGCAGUAGGCAAUCUUCCGCAAUGGGCGAAAGCUUGACGGAGCAACGCCGCGUGAGUGAUGAAGGUCUUCGGAUCGUAAAACUCUGUUAUUAGGGAAGAACAAAUGUGUAAGUAACUAUGCACGUCUUGACGGUACCUAAUCAGAAAGCCACGGCUAACUACGUG
rnacentral:rRNA from 1 species